GGAGGUUAUAGCUUAGUGGUAGAGCACGUGCUUAUUAUGCACGAGGUCCUGGGUUCAAUCUCCAGUACCUACA
rnacentral:tRNA from 1 species